CUGACUUUUAGAGUCAGUACCGAAUGGCUAAAGAAUCCCGAUUUUGACUGAGAGAGGGAGUAUGUAUAAAAAAAAGUAUUAUUCGUCAAAUCUUUUAGAGCCUAAUUUAUGCCUUUGAAAAGGAAAAGUAAUUCUAAAGUCUUCAUUAGGGCAGCUUGCUGCAUGAUGCUAAGAAAGUAACUUAACUGACUGAUCAUUAGGAAGACCAGGGAUGAAAUCAAAAUGAAACAAUAAGAACUAGCUGGGAACUCUUCUUUCUGAGCAACAGCAAGAACAGGAAGCAAUAAAUCGAGAAGACAUUUACUGAACCCCAAUAAUCUGCCCAAAGUAGAAGAGUUGAGAACUGGACACGCAGAAGGCCACAGAGAUCUAAAGGUUUUCUUCCUCAAAACUGUUGUCUGGAAAACUCAUCUACUGUCGCAUUGCAUACUGAGCAGCUCACGCACCCUGAGUUUUGCUUGGGAUUCUAAUGGGUGCAUAUGCCUAGAGAAAACUAAAUUGUCCAGUCAUGUGACACAUUGUGUUCCUCCCGCCAGAUUCAAGCAUCUGUGACUGUGUUGGCCCGGAAUGCCUUUCCCACAACCCCAACAUUUGACUGCUAAGGAAGAACUUUCUUCCAAGACUGGGUUAAGAGAUUUGACUUGUUUCCCCACAACAGGGCUAAUUUGGCUGUGCUCUGGAAAGCCCUUUGAACUUUGUGUUCACAAGUCCUUGUGUUUUGAAAGAGAUACGUGCUCCAGAGAGCGCCUGAGAUGGAAAUGAAGAAUGAAGCCAGCCAGCCAAUAUGAAAGAAAAACGAACAUAUUAUAGUUUUCUCCAAACCCCAGUAGAGAUUUAGUCAGAGCUAUUUUUACCUUCUCCCCAAUGAUUUAACUUUCUUGUCUCUUGACAACGAUCUAGCGUUGUUUGAUCUAUGCAGUUUGAAAGAGACACCGUUGAUAAGCCGCUGAGCAGAAAACGAAUUAGGAAAGAAAGAGUUCAUUGGACUGCUGGAAAAAUAACAAAGUGAACAAAGGAAAGAAAGCAAAUGUUCUGUUCUGUCAUCGACCAGCCUUACACCGCAUGGAGGGAGUUAACAGUCAUUUCCCCAAGGCCAGGCCUGCUCUACUUGACUUGUUAUUAGAGUCCGUAGGAAAAUCAUCAGACUUGGCUGGGCCAACACGUUCUAAGAACUGGUGAUGUGAGAGGAGUAGGGAUGGUUCCAUGGAACAUGAGGAACGAUAAGAGGCGACACCUGGGGUGAGAGGGUGAAGAAAUAACAUUUAGGGGCAGUUAAGUGUUAAUCGCAUUGAUAGUUAAACUACUCUGUUAGGGGUUACAAAUUGAGAAGUUUAACUGCAUUUCUGUUUCAGGAUGGUCGGCUUUCCUGAGUCUUGUGGGACAGGUCUAUGAUUUUCUAAGUGUGUACACACACACCCAUGUGUCAUUGCAUGUGUGCAAGAGAGACUGAAGAGAAGGAAGAAUGGAGAAGAAAGCCGUUUCCAUUGCAUACAUCUCUGCUUCGAAUUGUAGCAUUUAAACAGAUAAAAAACUAUUACCAGUAGAUUGGGAUACACUGUCGUCUUGAAAACUCAGUUUGCUCAUUUAUGGGAGGCAAUACUAACCGACUCACAGCUUAGUUACAAGCAUUGAGUAAGAGGAUACGUGUAAAGCAUACUUUAAUAUCUAUAUAGGAACAAAUAAACAUUCCUUUUUCACCUCUCCACCCCAAGAUCUAUCCUGAUAACCACCCCCUUUUGCAACCUAUCUAGGACAGAACAAACAAGAAAAUAAUCCACAGUAAGCUACUAAAUUCGAGAACUAAAUGCUUAUCCUACCUGUACCUGAAUAUAUAAUGAGGAUUGGGUAGGAUAAAAUAAUGGGAGAAAUAGGUGUUCAGCAGAUUAUUGGUUUUCAAUUUAGAUUCCUAUCUAUUUCACUCUGAUUAUUUUGGAUGGAUGCCCUAGGGUAGUACUAAGGGGACACAUUGCUACAGUAAUAAGCCCAGAUUUGGACUAAGAAUAACUUUUAAACAGUUCUACCUCUUUCAUCUUUUCUCUUGUCAAGACUAUUGAGCUCAUUAGUUUAAAGUACCAGCAUGAAAAAGAAUUCCUAAAAACAGAUAAUGUUAUGAGCCUUGGGGAAAUACUCUAUUAUAAUUUGCUCUACAGAUACAUUUAAAAAAUAGUUCUACAAGAAUUAUUGCUCAAUUAUAAUAAAAUUCCUAUGACGUUACAUGCUCUAUGUUAAUAAGCGUGAGCUCAUUUUGGCCCACCUGUUAUUACAGUGAACACCACAGUGUUGUGGUGAAGGGUCAGACAAGACCGGAACAGAGGAUGUAGGUAACCAGGAAGCCAGAACUCAGAGCGGAGAAGUUAAAGACAACAAUGGGUCUCCACUGAGAAAAAGGAGGGAGGCUGGGGGGUUGUGCAAUAAAAUUUCUUUGUACUUUAAAGCUUCGCUUCCUGAAAAUGUUGCAAUACCAUUGCUAUCUCCAAAAGACUAAAGUUCUAGGCUUGGUAAGGAAGGACUAAAUGGAAAUUGCAUAAAUAUCAUUUUCUUCCUGGAACAAUAUAAAAAUUUUGGCUGCCUUUUCUGGCAGAGAAAUGUUGAAUUAUAUUCCUUUUUCAUAUAAUAUAUGGCUUUUCUAUGAGAUAAGUCUUUAGGGAAAUGAACCAACAUCCUUUCCCACCCUUACAAGUUGUCAGAUUAUUUUGUUUUGCAAAUUUGGAUUUGCUAGAAGUUAUCCACUGAGAUGGGCCAAGCAGAAAAAAUGAAAGUGUGUACCACACACAAUCAUAAUCAACUCAACAUAACUGCAAUUUCCCAUGGAGCCCAGACUGUCAUUUCCCAAAUAUCAUCCAUCAGGGGUCAAAACAAGUUGAAAUUAUUUGAUUUAAUAUUAUCUGAUCAACAGGAUCAGGUCUGGACAGCACCUUAAAGAAAGUUCUUUGGGGGGCAAAAAAGCUUCACCCAGAAAGGAAUAAUGUUAGAUAAAUUUUACCUUUCCAAGUCAAAUUGAACUCAUGAUGGAAGACAGUUGAUCUACUGGAUGAAUAAAACAGAACUGGAUUCUGGUUCAUUUUUUCUUAAGAACUCCAUGUCUGAAUACUUUCUGCCAGGUUUUUACAAUAUUACUGGAAACACAUUCCAAGUGGUUAUCCAUAUCCAAAGAUUAGAAAAUUCUAUAUUAUUUGCACUGUUGAUCCAUUGCUACUGUAGGAAUGAUUUGUUUUUCUGUCUAUAAUGCCUCUAAAUUUUAUACUAAAAUGCUCCCCAGGAAGCUUCUUACAUACAA